ACUACUGAACUUCAUGCCUGAGAGUGAUGCAGUCUGAGUCUGAAUAUAAAAUCAGUCAAAACUUUCAACAAUGGAUCUCUUGGUUCCGGCAUCGAUGAAGAACGCAGCGAACUGCGAUAAGUAAUGUGAAUUGCAGAAUUCAGUGAAUCAUCGAGUCUUUGAACGCACAUUGCGCCCCCUGGCAUUCCGGGGGGCAUGCCUGUCCGAGCGUCAUUGCUGCCCAUCAAGCCCGGCUUGUGUGUUGGGUCGUCGUCCCCCCCGGGGGACGGGCCCGAAAGGCAGCGGCGGCACCGUGUCCGGUCCUCGAGCGUAUGGGGCUUUGUCACCCGCUCGAUUUAGGGCCGGCCGGGCGCCAGCCGACGUCCAACCA
rnacentral:rRNA from 1 species